UAGGGAAUAUUGCGCAAUGGGCGAAAGCCUGACGCAGCGACGCCGCGUGGGUGAUGAAGUCCUUCGGGACGUAAAACCCUGUCAGGGGGGACGAAACACUAUGUACGAACAGUCUCAUAGCUUGACGGUACCCCCAGAGGAAGCUCCGGCCAACUCCGUGCCAGCAGCCGCGGUAAUACGGAGGGUGCAAGCGUUGUUCGGAAUUAUUGGGCGUAAAGCGCGUGUAGGUGGUCGUGUAAGUCAGAUGUGAAAGCCUUCUGCUUAACAGAAGAAGGGCAUUUGAAACUGCUCGACUAGAGUACGGGAGAGGAGAGUGGAAUUCCCGGUGUAGAGGUGAAAUUCGUAGAUAUCGGGAGGAACACCAGUGGCGAAGGCGGCUCUCUGGUCCGAUACUGACACUGAGACGCGAAAGCGUGGGGAGCAAACAGGAUUAGAUACCCUGGUAGUCCACGCCGUAAACGAUGGGCACUAGGUGUAGGAGGUAUUGACCCCUUCUGUACCGAAGCUAACGCAUUAAGUGCCCCGCCUGGGGAGUACGGCCGCAAGGCUA
rnacentral:rRNA from 1 species